ACUAAACGAUUUCUCGUCCACACAGACGCUUCUAUGUUUGGAUUGGGAGCAGUACUAAGCCAAGUCGGAGCAGAUGGCAGCGAGCAUCCCGUAGCUUACUUAAGCAGAAAACUUUUACCCUGAGAAGUAAGCUACGCUGCCAUAGAAAUGGAAUGCCUUGCCAUGGUGUGGGCCCUCAAGAAACUGCAACCAUAUAUACGGACAACCAUUCUCGCUACUCACAGAUCACAACCCGUUAGUCUGGCUAAAUCG